AUGCAGUCGAGCGGUAACAGAUCUAGCUUGCUAGAUGCUGACGAGCGGCGGNNGGGUGAGUAAUGCAUAGGAAUCUGCCCUGUAGUGGGGGAUAACCUGGGGAAACCCAGGCUAAUACCGCAUACGUCCUACGGGAGAAAGGGGGCUUCGGCUCCCGCUACGGGAUGAGCCUAUGUCGGAUUAGCUAGUUGGUGAGGUAACGGCUCACCAAGGCGACGAUCCGUANCUGGUCUGAGAGGAUGAUCAGCCACAUCGGGACUGAGACACGGCCCGAACUCCUACGGGAGGCAGCAGUGGGGAAUAUUGGACAAUGGGGGGAACCCUGAUCCAGCCAUGCCGCGUGUGUGAAGAAGGCCUUCGGGUUGUAAAGCACUUUCAGCGAGGAAGAACGCCUAGUGGUUAAUACCCAUUAGGAAAGACAUCACUCGCAGAAGAAGCACCGGCUAACUCCGUGCCAGCAGCCGCGGUAAUACGGAGGGUGCAAGCGUUAAUCGGAAUUACUGGGCGUAAAGCGCGCGUAGGUGGCUUGAUAAGCCGGUUGUGAAAGCCCCNGGCUCAACCUGGGAACGGCAUCCGGAACUGUCAGGCUAGAGUGCAGGAGAGGAAGGUAGAAUUCCCGGUGUAGCGGUGAAAUGCGUANAGAUCGGGAGGAAUACCAGUGGCGAAGGCGGCCUUCUGGACUGACACUGACACUGAGGUGCGAAAGCGUGGGUAGCAAACAGGAUUAGAUACCCUGGUAGUCCACGCCGUAAACGAUGUCGACCAGCCGUUGGGUGCCUAGAGCACUUUGUGNCNAAGUUAACGCGAUAAGUCNACCGCCUGGGGAGUACGGCCGCAAGGUUAAAACUCA
rnacentral:rRNA from 1 species